GAUGAAGAACGUAGCGAAAUGCGAUAAGUAAUGUGAAUUGCAGAAUUCAGUGAAUCAUCGAAUCUUUGAACGCACAUUGCGCCCUCUGGUAUUCCGGGGGGCAUGCCUGUUCGAGCGUCAUUAUAACCACUCAAGCUCUCGCUUGGUAUUGGGGUUCGCGGUUCCGCGGCCCCUAAAAUCAGUGGCGGUGCCUGUCGGCUCUACGCGUAGUAAUACUCCUCGCGAAUGAGUCCGGUAGGUCUACUUGCCAGCAACCCCCAAUUUUUACAGGUUGACCUCGGAUCAGGUAGGGAUACCCGCUGAACUUAAGCAUAUCAAUAAGCGGAGGA
rnacentral:misc_RNA from 1 species